rnacentral:rRNA from 1 species
UACGUAGGGGGCCAGCGUUGUCCGGAUUCAUUGGGCGUAAAGCGCGUGUAGGCGGCCAGAAAAGUCCGCUGUGAAAACUCGAGGCUCAACUUCGAGCUGUCGGUGGAAACUUUCUGGCUAGAGUCCGGAAGAGGAGAAUGGAAUUCCUGGUGUAGCGGUGAAAUGCGCAGAUAUCAGGAAGAACACCCGUGGCGAAGGCGGUUCUCUGGGACGGUACUGACGCUGAGACGCGAAAGCGUGGGGAGCGAACAGG